rnacentral:rRNA from 1 species
UACGUAGGGGGCAAGCGUUGUCCGGAAUCAUUGGGCGUAAAGAGCGUGUAGGCGGUCCGGUCAGUCGGUUGUGAAAGUCAAGGGCUCAACCCUUGAAUGCCGGCCGAUACUGUCAAGCUCGAGUCCGGAAGAGGCAAGUGGAAUUCCCGGUGUAGCGGUGAAAUGCGCAGAUAUCGGGAGGAACACCAAUGGCGAAGGCAGCUUGCUGGGACGGUACUGACGCUGAGACGCGAAAGCGUGGGGAGCAAACAGG